GACGAACGCUGGCGGCGUGCCUAAUACAUGCAAGUAGAACGCACAGUUUAUACCGUAGCUUGCUACACCAUAAACUGUGAGUUGCGAACGGGUGAGUAACGCGUAGGUAACCUGCCUGGUAGCGGGGGAUAACUAUUGGAAACGAUAGCUAAUACCGCAUAAUAUUGAUUAUUGCAUGAUAAUUGAUUGAAAGAUGCUAUUGCAUCACUACCAGAUGGACCUGCGCUGUAUUAGCUAGUAGGUGAGGUAACGGCUCACCUAGGCGACGAUACAUAGCCGACCUGAGAGGGUGAUCGGCCACACUGGGACUGAGACACGGCCCAGACUCCUACGGGAGGCAGCAGUAGGGAAUCUUCGGCAAUGGACGAAAGUCUGACCGAGCAACGCCGCGUGAGUGAAGAAGGUUUUCGGAUCGUAAAGCUCUGUUGUAAGAGAAGAACGGGUGUGAGAGUGGAAAGUUCACACUGUGACGGUAUCUUACCAGAAAGGGACGGCUAACUACGUG
rnacentral:rRNA from 1 species